ensembl:lncRNA
GCCUCGGCGAGGCGCGCGCGCGCACGGGCUCGGGCUCUCCCGGAUGGCGGUGGGACGAAGUACGCGCGCCGCCCCCUCGUUCCAGCGCUCUCCGCUCCUGCUGCUCCCUCCGUCCUCGCCCCUCCUCAGGCCAGCCCGGAGCGCCGCCGACCCGCGAGCGCUGCAGCGGGGGCCAGUUGCCAACAACAGAAACCCGGAUUGCAAAUGCUCCCACGAGACGGAAUAGUGCCGAAGGAACUUGACUGAUCUUAACUCUAAGAAGGAAUCCAGCAAGGCGUUCCAGGAUGGUCUUCCGGGGAAUCCGCAUUGAGUUUAUAGAUCAUGAACGGUUAAGCUUUUGACCUCUGAGGAAGGAUGGAACGUGCCUGGAAAUUAUAUUGGAGCCCUACCUGAGAAGGUGUGCCCGUUAGUUGUGUAUCUGCCUCCCGCCUGGAGCACUUUCAUAGGUGCUGACAAGCGGGUACCAGUAUUUCAUGGAAAAAGAAUGAAGAACCGCUCAGAACUGUGUGUAAACAUCUGUGGGAAUUUUUUUAAGGCUUCAGAAACAAAGCUUCAGAAACAAAGAGAUGAGAUCAGGAAAUUUUUCCAGUACCACCCCGUGUAACCUGGUACUGGGCACAGAAAUCUGCAUGUUUCCUAAGCUCUCACAUGAUACUUAAGUAUGCUUGAGAACCUUUGUCCUAGGGCUUCCCUGGUUAACUACUUCUCACUUUUCUCAAAAACUAGCUAGCUUGUUGACAACCUGUUACGUGGAGGAGCAAGAAGUUACUUCUUGCAAUAAAUCGCACUUAAGUAGACUUGGCCUUGAGAGGAAUUGGGGCUAUAUUGAGGCCACAGUUAGGAGCCAGGGUCCCCACAAAGGUGGAAGAACCAGGAGAUUCUAGAAUUAUGACACUGGUUAACAGUGACUUGAGCCGUUUGGAUGAAAUAACCCUCAAAAGUGUCCUCCACCCACCCAAAACACACAGCAUAGUACUACCACCAAUCUGGUGGGCUUGAAAGGUAAAGUCUGCUCUUAGCAGCAGAUUCCCUACUAACAGGAAGGCACUGACAAGCUUUACCUAAGCCUACUGGUGCUAUAUUGUAAUUCUUUCUGUGCAUAAAUAAAACAGUUCCUGCAGAUUCCUGGAUAAAUCAAAGGAAAGGUCUAUCUUAAGCUGAUAUGACACAACUCAGAAAAGGACUAGAAAUUAGAUCCAGUUGAUGACUGAGCUGAUCCCUAAGCAGGAUUUACCUUUGAAAUAAAACUCAACAGAGAAGGGGAAGUUCAGAUAACUCACUGGUAAUUUGGGGCAGGGGGGCUAGCUGAGUUCUCAUUUCAUAUGUCAAAAGCAAGUCCAAGGAGGAUUUAUGAGUUAAAUGUAUUUUUUAAAGCAAACCAGAAAAUACUAUUUGUUAAACCUCUGGCUAGAAGUCUUCCUCAACUUAGAAGCGAUAGAAGGAAAUGAUCAAUGGAUAUGACUGGGUAAUACCUAAAACUUCUAUGUGUCAAACAUUAUUUUAGACAAACCUAAACCAAAAAAAGAAAAGAAGUGACAGCAAAUAUAAAAAAAAAGUAUGAAUAUCUAUAAGUAGGGCUCAUACAGCUAAAGUAAAAUAUAGAAUCUCAGUUAUUGAGUAUAAACAGAAAACAAACAAAUCACGUACAAAGACAUCAAAUAGUAAUAAUAAAUAUAUGGUGAAAAUUAACCUUAUAGUAAUUAAAGAAAUAGAUGUUAAAACAAACCAGUGAUAAAGAUAUAGAGAUAAUAAGCAAUGGUUUGCUCAUACAUUGCAGGUGUCAUUAUAAAAUGAUACUGUCCAUUUGGAAAGCAUUUUGACUAUAUGUCGUAGGUCAGGGUGCUCCUACAUUUUGAUUCAGAGGUCCCACUUCUGGGACUCUAG